AAUAAGUGCAGUUUUACACUAUACAUCUCCAACGUUUGACCGUUCAUCUUAUUUGAAAUUUUUUUAUGAUUACUAUUUUUAUUAUUAUUAGAUGAUAAAGCAUGAAUAGUACUNGUAUUUUCAUUAUUGUUAGAUGAUAAAAUAUGAUUAAUACUUUAUGCAUGACUUAUCUUUUUAAAAUUUUUUCAUAUUUUUUUUAAAUAAGAUGAACGGUCAAACGUUAGACACGGCAACCCAGGAAUUGAGUUUCU
rnacentral:pre_miRNA from 1 species